rnacentral:rRNA from 1 species
UACGGGGGGGGCAAGCGUUGUUCGGAAUUACUGGGCGUAAAGGGCUCGUAGGCGGCCAACUAAGUCAGACGUGAAAUCCCCGGGCUCAACCCGGGAACCGCGUCCGAUACUGGCAGGCUUGAAUUCGGGAGAGGGAUGUGGAAUUCCAGGUGUAGCGGUGAAAUGCGUAGAUAUCUGGAGGAACACCGGUGGCGAAGGCGGCAUCCUGGACCGAUAUUGACGCUGAUGCGCGAAAGCCAGGGGAGCAAACGGG